UGAGACUGCCCUGUUUCAUUGUCUGAGAGAGACUGCCCUGUUUCAUUGUCUGAGAGAGACUGCCCUGUUUCAUUGUCUGAGAGAGACUGCCCUGUUUCAUUGUCUGAGAGAGACUGCCCUGUUUCAUUGUCUGAGAGAGACUGCCCUGUUUCAUUGUCUGAGAGAGACUGCCCUGUUUCAUUGUCUGAGAGAGACUGUUGUUCUUUUCAAUUGUUACUUAUGUUAUAGUGAGACUGCUCGACGUCAUUUCGAGAUGGUUAUAAUUAUCUUAAAAAAAACAAACGUCCACGCAUCUUUAUGUUUUCAAGAUUUACAAACAUUUACAAUCCAAUGUUUCUUACAAUAGAAUGUUUCUUACAAUCCAAUGUUUCUUCUCUUUCUUGCUAUGCAGAGCUUACACAUGUAUGUGCCCCAGGAUGACUCAGCUCCGCCGUACGAUGACCUGAAAAUGAAUUUGAACUCCUCUGAAGUUGGCAAAAUUUCAAACAAUAAAUAUAUUUCUACUAUCGAUACCCCGAGUUGGCCGCCUGCACUGAGAACCAAUUUACAGCACGAUAAAUUAACGAUGUUUUAGCACCAGUAUACUGAUUUAAUAAAUUGUAUAUUUAUGUUGAAUGAGUGGAAGCAAGAAGACAUAUCAAUGUGUCUAAACAAUAGAGGAAACUGAAAUAAACUUUCUAGACAAAAUAAACAAAUGGCUAGCGAUGUUUACAAUAUCAGCCAUGUCUUUUUAGCUCGAUUUUAUAAAGCUUUUUAAAAAGCUAUUUUAACUGAUAGUCAUGCAUUCAAAAUGCAAUAAAUAAUUGUCAUUGAGCGUGUGUGUGCGUUUAUGAAUGCGCAUGUGAUAAAAGCAUCUAUACUUGGCGUUUACAGGAUCAUUUUUUUUAUAAUUAAAAGAUUCUGUUAUGAAUUCCAGAAACUUAACUUUUUAUUUACUAGCAAUAUGAAAAUUGUGCAUACUCUAUUGUCAGUUUAAGGGUAUAAUAACCUGACAACAUUGGCGUCACGUGUGACAACUGCGACUAGGUAUUUAAUUUUAUAUUGGAAUUUUAGAAUGUCAUUCAUUGAGAUGUUUGCUAGUGGACAUUGUAUGAAAUAUGUUACUUUGUAUGAGGCUCCUAAUUUAUGGAAGUCUUUAAGUUCUGUCACUCAUAUACAAAACAUUAACGCUGCUACAAUAUGUUACCAUGUUCUGUUUUAUUAAUAGGAUGCAAUAUGUUAAAUGUUACUGAUUUGUUGUACCAUUUAUACAGUGAUACAAAAUAUAUUUCUAUAUUGAACUUUGAUAUCUCCUAACUGUAAGACUUUACUUGAAUGAGUGUGGUUCUAUGUAUUACGUUAAUACCUCUUCUGGUAUUAUUAGAAUGUUCACGGUGUGUUAAUUAAAUGUCCUUAUUCAGGCUGAA
rnacentral:sRNA from 1 species